rnacentral:rRNA from 1 species
GAUGAACGCUGGCGGCGUGCUUAACACAUGCAAGUCGAACGGAAAGGCUCCUGCUUGCAGGGGUACUCGAGUGGCGAACGGGUGAGUAACACGUGGGUGAUCUGCCCUGCACUUCGGGAUAAGCCUGGGAAACUGGGUCUAAUACCGGAUAGGACGAUGGUUUGGAUGCCAUUGUGGAAAGUUUUUUCGGUGUGGGAUAAGCUCGCGGCCUAUCAGCUUGUUGGUGGGGUAAUGGCCUACCAAGGCGUCGACGGGUAGCCGGCCUGAGAGGGUGUACGGCCACAUUGGGACUGAGAUACGGCCCAGACUCCUACGGGAGGCAGCAGUGGGGAAUAUUGCACAAUGGGCGCAAGCCUGAUGCAGCGACGCCGCGUGGGGGAUGACGGCCUUCGGGUUGUAAACUCCUUCCGCUAGGGACGAAGCGCAAGUGACGGUACCUGGAGAAGAAGCACCGGCUAACUACGUG